rnacentral:rRNA from 1 species
CCUACGGGGGGCAGCAGUCGAGAAUAAUUCACAAUGGGGGAAACCCUGAUCGUGCGACGCCGCGUGGGGGAAGACGGUUUUCGGAUUGUAAACCUCUGUCCUCUGUGAAGAUAAUUACAGUAUCAGAGGAGGAAGCUCCGGCUAACUACGUGCCAGCAGCCGCGGUAAUACGUAGGGAGCAAGCGUUGUCCGGAUUUACUGGGUGUAAAGGGUGCGUAGGCGGACAUGCAAGUCAGAAGUGAAAUCCAUGGGCUUAACCCGUGAACUGCUUUUGAAACUGUAGGGCUUGAGUGAAGUAGAGGCAGGCGGAAUUCGCGGUGUAGCGGUGAAAUGCGUAGAGAUCGGGAGGAACACCAGUGGCGAAGGCGGCCUGCUGGGCUUUAACUGACGCUGAGGCACGAAAGCGUGGGUAGCAAACAGGAUUAGAUACCCUAGUAGUC